rnacentral:lncRNA from 1 species
UGUCUAUUUAUUAGCAUUUAUGUUUUUAUAAAUAAUUAAAACACACAUUAAUUGAUUUGUAUAUAUAUAAUAACAAAUCUUUCUUCUUUUAGCCCUCCGGAUCGAGCAAAUCUGCUACACACGUAGUAUGAGGCGAGUCCAAAAAGUUGCACAAUGGCAUAAAGUACAACAUCAAUCAAGUCAAAGCAGAUGGCCAACCAAUUGGUCCUGAAAACAACGAAAGUUUAUAGCUCAGUGCGGAGCUAGUUAUUAUUAGGGACAACAUCCCGAUCAUCAUUCAAGAAUGGAAUAAACCAAGGGUAGAUCGAGGAGUUACUUUUGUCGACGAAAGAUCAAAAAAAUUUGCUUUGGGAUACGCUCAUGUAACAUUUUGAUCUACCAGAGGGUUUUACUAAUCGCGAACGGUCGAGAGUCAAGCAGUUUGUUCUUAAGAAGAUGCCCACACACGUCCAGACAUGGAAAAAAAAGAUUAUGGGCCGAUUACGUCAGUGCAGAAAAGAAGACUCCGGAAUUCACUACAGCACUAGAGAAGGUAAAAAUCACUGAGACUUAUUUGUGUAGUUCAAGAAAUUGGAAGCAGCAAAGGAACGGACGGUAAAAAAUAAGAUAAAUCCUGACAAAAAAAGGUAUCACCAUGUUCCGGGCCCAGGUGGCUAUAAGACCGCAUGUCUAAGUCGGUAGAAUCUAAGGCCAAGAUGAUUGUUGCAGGGGUCACUUAAAAAAUAGUGGCUUGGCCCGAUAGGUGCAGGAGUUGGUUUUAUGCGCAUGGGGACAUAUUAUUAAAAAGGAAAAUCUUAAAUAUGCCUCAGACGCUUUAAUUCAAACAAUAGAAGAUGCUAUAACGGGGGCGUUCCAGACCGGUAGAGAGAACGACGGUCACUAUGCUAAAGUCGGCCAUGCUAUGCUAAAGUCGGGGUGGAUGACGUCUGUCGGGAUAUGAGUCACUAGAGCUUGACAUUCCUAGAGGUCAAGGGAAGGAGAGACUGGGAGAGGUCACACAUUUUGUCAUUUUAUGAAGAAUGGAAUGCAUCGUGUUUCCAAACUCGGCGCCAAGGACACCGACUCCCCCGAGUAGCAAUACACCUCAAUCUCCGUAGUGUGAGCCGACUCCAGUACCCCACACCGAUAUCAUGGAUCCCAGGGCGAGUCCACGUCGAUCUCUGCCACGUGAGCCGACUCCAGUACCCCACAUCGAUAUCAGGUUGCCCAAAGCGAGUCCACGUCAAACUCCGCCACGUGAGCCGACUCCAGUACCCCACCCCGAGAUGGAGCCCAACACGAGUCCGCAAUAUCGGUCUCUGUCGUGUCCAUGGACUAAUAGCGGAAGAGAGCACCAAAUAAAAAAAC